ensembl:snRNA U2 U2 spliceosomal RNA
AUCACUUCUUGACCUUUUGGCUAAGAUCAAGUGUAGUAUCUGUCUUCAUCAGUUUAAUAUCUGAUACAUCCUCUAUCUGAGAACAGUAUGUUAAAUGGAUUUUUGGAGCAUGGAGUUGGAAUAGGAUCUUGCUCUGUCCAAUCCACACAUUGACCUGGUAUUGUAGUACUUCCAGGAACGGUGCACCACUU